rnacentral:rRNA from 1 species
AUGGCUCGCUUCGCCGUGGUCGCCGCCAUCGUCGCCCUCCUGGCCAUCGCCGCCGCCGCGCAGGGUCCCAUGCCGGCGCCCAAGAUGGCCCCGCUGCCGGCGCCCCCGACGAGGUCGCCCCCGACCGCAUCCGCGCCGUCCCCGAUGGCCUCUCCCCCGGCCCCGCCCACCGACGCCCCCACCGGCGCUCCUUCCGCGAUGACGCCUUCCGCGGUCGCCGGAGCACCCGCGGGCGCACCUGCCGGCGCGCCCAGCGGCACCACCCCCGCCAGCUCCGCCGUCUACGCCUCCUCCGUCAGCUUCGUCGCCGUCGCCGGUGCCGUCGCCGCCGCCGUCAUGUUCUAG